UACAGAGGUCCCGAGCGUUGUUCGGAUUCACUGGGCGUAAAGGGUGCGUAGGCGGCGCGGUAAGUCGGGUGUGAAAUCUCGGAGCUUAACUCCGAAACUGCAUUCGAUACUGCCGUGCUUGAGGACUGGAGAGGAGACUGGAAUUUACGGUGUAGCGGUGAAAUGCGUAGAUAUCGUAAGGAAGACCAGUGGCGAAGGCGGGGUCUCUGGACAGUUCCUGACGUGAGGCACGAAGUCAGGGGGAGCAAACGGGG
rnacentral:rRNA from 1 species